ACUCGUCUGGGCGAGGAUAAACAGUGAUUAGGCCCAGAGCGUCCUGGCUCUUUGCCAGGGGUUCAG
rnacentral:ribozyme from 1 species